GAUGAACGCUGGCGGCGUGCCUAAUACAUGCAAGUCGAGCGAACGGACGAGAAGCUUGCUUUUCUGAUGUUAGCGGCGGACGGGUGAGUAACACGUGGAUCACCUACCUAUAAUACUGGGAUAACUUCGGGAAACCGGCGCUAAUACCGGAUAAUAUUUUGAACCGCAUGGUUCAAAAGUGAAAGACGGUCUUGCUGUCACUUAUCGCUGGAUCCGCGCUGCAUUAGCUAGUUGGUAAGGUAACGGCUUACCAAGGCAACGAGGCAUAGCCGAACUGAGAGAGUGAUCGCCCACACGGGAACGGAGACACGGACAAGACGCCUGAGAGAGGGAGCAGUAGGGAAUGGGCGGCAGUAGGCGAGAGCAUGACGGAGCAAGGCCGCGUGAGUGAUGGAGGUGUUGGGAUCGUAAAAAUGUGUUAUUAGGGAAGAACAUAUGUGGAAGGAGCUGAGCAGAGCGUGACGGUAACGGGUCAGAAAGCCACGGCUAACUACGUG
rnacentral:rRNA from 1 species